CCUUGAAAUACCACCCUUUAAUGUUUGAUGUUCUAACGUGGACCCGUAAUCCGGGUUGCGGACAGUGUCUGGUGGGUAGUUUGACUGGGGCGGUCUCCUCCUAAAGAGUAACGGAGGAGCACGAAGGUUGGCUAAUCCUGGUCGGACAUCAGGAGGUUAGUGCAAUGGCAUAAGCCAGCUUGACUGCGAGCGUGACGGCGCGAGCAGGUGCGAAAGCAGGUCAUAGUGAUCCGGUGGUUCUGAAUGGAAGGGCCAUCGCUCAACGGAUAAAAGGUACUCCGGGGAUAACAGGCUGAUACCGCCCAAGAGUUCAUAUCGACGGCGGUGUUUGGCACCUCGAUGUCGGCUCAUCACAUCCUGGGGCUGAAGUAGGUCCCAAGGGUAUGGCUGUUCGCCAUUUAAAGUGGUACGCGAGCUGGGUUUAGAACGUCGUGAGACAGUUCGGUCCCUAUCUGCCGUGGGCGCUGGAGAACUGAGGGGGGCUGCUCCUAGUACGAGAGGACCGGAGUGGACGCAUCACUGGUGUUCGGGUUGUCAUGCCAAUGGCACUGCCCGGUAGCUAAAUGCGGAAGAGAUAAGUGCUGAAAGCAUCUAAGCACGAAACUUGCCCCGA
rnacentral:rRNA from 4 species